ACUAGAAUGAAUGGCUAAAUGAAGACUAAACUGUCUCUUGCAGGCAAGCCAAUGAAAUUGAUUUUCCAGUACAAAAGCUGAAAUACAACCAUAAGACGAGAAGACCCUGUGGAGCUUUAAAACCAAACUCAUCAACCAUGCUUCCUUGGAUUUUUAGUUGGGGCGACUUCGGAGUAUAAAAAAACCUCCGAAAUAUGAAAUUUGACUGAGACCAACACACCAAAAACAAUAUCAUAAGACCCAGCAACCACCUCGUGUUGACUGACCAAUGAACCAAGUUACCCCAGGGAUAACAGCGCCAUCCCCUUCUAGAGUCCCUAUCGACAAGGGGGUUUACGACCUCGAUGUUGGAUCAGGACACCCCAAUGGUGCAGCCGCCAUUAAAG
rnacentral:rRNA from 1 species